rnacentral:rRNA from 1 species
GACGAACGCUGGCGGCGUGCCUAACACAUGCAAGUCGAACGGAGUGGCGAACGGGUGAGUAACACGUGGGUGAUCUGCUUUGCACUUCGGGAUACGCUUGGGAAACUGGGUCUAAUACCGGAUAGUGCAAGAUGAGCUCGCGGCCUAUCAGCUUGUUGGUGGGGUAAUGGCCUACCAAGGCGUCGACGGGUAGCCGGCCUGAGAGGGUGUACGGCCACAUUGGGACUGGGAUACGGCCCAGAUGCCUACGGGAGGCAGCAGGGGGGAAUAUUGCGCAAUGGGCGGAAGCAUGAUGCAGGGACGCCGCGUGGGGAAUGAAGGCCUUCGGGUUGUAAACUCCUUUAGACAGGGACGCGGUACCUGUAUAAGAAGCACCGGCUAACUACGUGCCAGCAGCCGCGGUAAUAC